UACGGGGGGGGCAAGCGUUGUUCGGAAUUACUGGGCGUAAAGGGUUCGUAGGUGGCCUACUAAGUCAGACGUGAAAUCCCUCAGCUUAACUGGGGAACUGCGUCUGAGACUGGAAGGCUCGAGUGCAGGAGAGGAACGCGGAAUUCCAGGUGUAGCGGUGAAAUGCGUAGAUAUCUGGAGGAACACCGGUGGCGAAGGCGGCGUUCUGGACUGCAACUGACGCUGAUGAGCGAAAGCCAGGGGAGCAAACGGG
rnacentral:rRNA from 1 species